rnacentral:lncRNA from 1 species
AUGUCCGUGGAGGCUUCAGCCAUGCUCCAUGGAGGCUUCCCAUGGAGCUUGUGCUGCGAGGUACCUCCAGGUGUUUUAGCAAGUGCUCCUCGUUGCUGUGAAUGCCCAGAGUCUUCUCUCUCCCUUCAUGCACAUAUAGAUGAAUUCUCUGUAGUUUCUCCAGGGGGUGAUAACAGCAAGGCUCCUUCCCUCUGGAAACACAUGCAACUUUGUUGGAGUAAUAAAAACACCGAAAAGGAGAACCAGCAGCAGAUGCAGGUAUGCAGGAGUUCACAACUUGCCAAGAGGAGCUUAAUGAUGAAGAUGUGCUUCCUAAGCGUUCAAGAUUUUUCAGAGGACUUUGCAAAAAUAUGGGGCACACAAAGCUGGAUCUCCAUGCUUUCUAGCUGAUAAAGACUGAGCCUAAAGGUGGUGCUUACACAGGUGUUGUUUUUUUUGUUCUGUUGCACUCUUCAUAUCAGCAGUACACUCUGAAGUAAAGUCUUGCCGGUUUAAUACAGGUUCAGUUUUCAAUAUUUUUUCUCAUAGAUUCUGGACAUCCUAUAGUAGCAUUUAUUUUACAGAUGGCCAGCUUUAGCUUCUGACUUGCACAUAGGAAACUAAUCCCAUAUCUCAGUUUAUCAUAAUGCAGUUAAGAAAGCACAGCACAAGUCAUUCUGAAGAACUGCAGAGACAAAUGCUCAGAGUCAAAAGGUUAAUAAGAGUUGUCUUUAUAGGAAAGUUCUUGUAAUAUAUUUUUUUCCCCUCAAUGUCUCUGAAAUACAGUAUUUUCUUGACUAAGUUGUCUGUUUUCAUGAAGGAUACUACUGGUAAUAACAGUAAUGGCAAAGAACAUGACAUUUACAUUGCUUUUAGAGUUAAAAAAGAAAAAAAAAGUGCAGAUGGUGUACAAAAUUUUAAAUGUAUCUCUCUCAGAUAUGCUCAUCUGCUUCGAUGCAAAGUCAGAAAUAUCAAAUCAUUUUCUUUGCUCAUUGGGUAGAUAUCUUCACAUACUGAAUAUUGCAAAACUGUUAUAGCAGAAUUAAAUAUGUCACUUGCAUGAACAACAACACUUACUGCUCAAGCCAGAUAAGUUCUGGGAAGUCCCAACCAUGACACAGAAAAUCUAUGGAUAAACACUGAAUGAAGAGGGCUCACCAAAAUUUGCUUUAGAUUUAUCAGAAACUCAUAAUACUCAACCUCAAAUAAACAUGCAUUCAGCUUCUCA